rnacentral:misc_RNA from 1 species
UGUGGGAGCUGGCUUGCCUGCGAUGGCGGUGGGGCAGCUAUCUAUAAGCUAACUGGCUGACCGCUAUCGCAGGCAAGCCAGCUCCCACA